ACUAUUUUGGCAGAUUUAAGUGUGGUAGAUUUAGAAUCUAAGUAUGUAAUGUUUUUACAAAUAGUA
rnacentral:tRNA from 1 species